AGCAGCCGCGGUAAUUCCAGCUCCAAUAGCGUAUAUUAAAGUUGUUGCAGUUAAAAAGCUCGUAGUUGAAUUUCGGGAUCAGUACGCUGGUCGUGCCUUCGGUAUGAACUGGUGUCACUGGUUCCUCCCUUCUGAAGAACCGUCAUGCCAUUCAGUUGGUGUGGCGGGGAAUCAGGACUGUUACUUUGAAAAAAUUAGAGUGUUUAAAGCAGGCUCGCGCUUGAAUACAUUAGCAUGGAAUAAUGAAAUAGGACGUUUGACCCUAUUUUGUUGGUUUCUAGGAUCGACGUAAUGAUUAAUAGGGAUAGUUGGGGGCAUUAGUAUUCAAUUGUCAGAGGUGAAAUUCUUGGAUUUAUUGAAGACUAACUACUGCGAAAGCAUUUGCCAAGGAUGUUUUCAUUAAUCAAGAACGAAAGUUAGGGGAUCGAAGACGAUCAGAUACCGUCGUAGUCUUAACCAUAAACUAUGCCGACUAGGGAUCGGAUGAUGUUAAUUUUUAAUGA
rnacentral:rRNA from 1 species